rnacentral:rRNA from 1 species
AUUGAACGCUGGCGGCAUGCUUUACACAUGCAAGUCGAACGGUAACAGGCCGCAAGGUGCUGACGAGUGGCGAACGGGUGAGUAAUGCAUCGGAACGUGCCCAGUCGUGGGGGAUAACGCAGCGAAAGCUGCGCUAAUACCGCAUACGAUCUAUGGAUGAAAGCGGGGGACCGAAAGGCCUCGCGCGAUUGGAGCGGCCGAUGUCAGAUGAGGUAGUUGGUGGGGUAAAGGCCCACCAAGCCAACGAUCUGUAGCUGGUCUGAGAGGACGACCAGCCACACUGGGACUGAGACACGGCCCAGACUCCUACGGGAGGCAGCAGUGGGGAAUUUUGGACAAUGGGCGCAGGCCUGAUCCAGCAAUGCCGCGUGCAGGAAGAAGGCCUUCGGGUUGUAAACUGCUUUUGUAUGGAACGAAACGGUCCGGGUUAAUACCCUGGGCUAAUGACGGUACCGUAAGAAUAAGCACCGGCUAACUACGUGCCAGCAGCCGCCGUAACAC